CCUACGGGUGGCAGCAGUGGGGAAUAUUGCACAAUGGGGGAAACCCUGAUGCAGCAACGCCGCGGGAAGGAAGACGGUGUGCGGAUUGGAAACGUCUGAUCGUAGGGAAGAAGAAUGACGGUAGCUAAGGAGCAAGCCACGGCUAACUACGUGCCAGCAGCCGCGGGAAUACGUAGGUGGCAAGCGUUGUCCGGAAUUACUGGGUGUAAAGGGAGCGCAGGCGGGAAGCCAAGUCAGCGGUGAAAACUACGGGCUUAACUUGUAGACUGCAGUUGAAACUGGUUUUCUUGAGUGAAGUAGAGGUUGGCGGAAUUCCGGGUGUAGCGGUGAAAUGCGUAGAUAUUCGGCGGAACACCGGUGUCGAAGGCGGCCCACUGGGCUUUAACUGACGCUGAGGCUCGAAAGUGUGGGGAGCAAACAGGAUUAGCUCCCCGUGUAGUC
rnacentral:rRNA from 1 species